CUUUGUUUACCAAUUUCCACAGUGCUUCCUUAGAACAAAAUUCUUGAUAAAGUUCUAUACCCGUACCAUCUUCCCAUUCUAUAUUCUUUGGAGUACCUUUUACACGAUUUGGAAUAGCUGGAAUAUCAUCAAAAUCAAAAAUACCAUCCACAUCUUCAUCCAAAUGGUUAUCCAUCGACCUUUCCACAGCCACAACUUCCAUACCUGUCACAUUCUGACACACUUCAUUCACCAUAACUUCAUU
rnacentral:lncRNA from 1 species